AAGGAUCACCAUAGAAACAUGAAUCUACUCUUCAUGUGUGGCGUCGUUGAUUCGGCGUGAUCAAGGCAGUUCGUGGAUUCGGAUCGUGGGUGCUUGAGAAUUCGAGUGGCGUCCGUGGACUCGGACGUGGGCAUGACGUUUGUGGAUAUAUUCGAUCGUAGGGCGUGGACAACCUGGUGACGUGUGCGAGAUCCAUAAGUUGUUAAAAGAGGUUGAGUCCGUGGAGUUAGUAAUCACCUUAUAAUCUUUUCUCUUAGUAAAUUAUUUUUUCGCGUGUUGGUCUCGUAGGCUUAUUUCUGAAUUAGAGUUUUUUCACGUAAAUCUCGGUAUGC
rnacentral:lncRNA from 1 species